GAAGACGUGAGUGAAGAGGAAUCUGCCGUCAUCCGUUCCCAGCAAGGAUAGCGUGCUCUCCAUGAGCUCGAGCGCGGCACCAUCACCCAGGCCCAAGAGAGAGAGGAGUUUCUCGGCCCGCUCUGCGUCAGAGUGUUGUUCAACACACCCAUAUAUAACACAGCUGUGGAGAUCUGCUGGUAUCUUCCAGGUUACAGGGCUCAGAUUUCAAUGAUGAUGGAGUUGCUCCGACUUCAGAAGGAAAACCAAACCAGGGACAUCGCGUUUUAAGCCCGGAUGCUGCUGGGAUUUCCAGAAGCCAUACCUCCUAAAUUUCAGUGAUCACAUCUGCCGUACAAUCAUUAACAGUCCAGCUACAGUGUUUCAAUAUUUCUGUGAUUCUUUAAAUAGGUUUAAAAGAUCAUUCUUAUAACUUUAUUCUACAGAACACCUAAGCUCCUCAGCAAUGUCAGCAAGUACAUUGAACUCCUUAAAGAGAGGCAGCAGGACGCACAAACCUCCAAACUGCUCACUGCACCAGACGUGGUGAUAGAGGUGGUUCCCCAUGUCGUGCAUGGAUUCUGGGAGCUUACUGCUCACCCCCUACUGAACAUGGCCUCCCAGAGAUUGAGCAUCCUCCAAAGGCCACUUUGGAUCAAGUAGCCAAAUCUCUCCCAACAAUGGAAAACCAGGCCAUCUUCUCACACUCCAUCAGAGACGGCAUGGUGCACACAAUCCUGUCUGAAGUCAGAAUAAAAUAUCCAGAACGGAUUCUGCUGAACAAAAUUGCAAACUUUGCACCAGGGCUACUCAGAACUGAUGUAGCAAAAACAACAUACGCCAGAUCUUCCAGCCCCCUUGUGAAAGUCCAGUAGUGCCUGAUGUUCUUCCAACUAAAGAACCUCAUCCUGAAGGUCUGCUGAAGUCAGAUGUUCUUCCCACUUCUGAACCUCCGUUUGAAAGUUCACAAAUGGCUGAUGUUCUUCUUACUGAAGAACCUGCUUCCAAAAUUCUGGCAAAGUCUGAUGAUCUUCCUAGUGAGGAACUCCCUUCUGUAAGUCUAUCCAUGUCUGAGCCAGUUGUCUCUAUUACUAAUAAUUCAGAGAAGUCUGACAACAUCAACUCCAGGAGAAAAAGAAGAAAAAGAAAGGGCUUCUUCCAAAAAUUCAGAGCUCUGUGCUGUUGUUGCUUCAGACCCCAAGAAAUUGACUGACUUUGAUCCUCAAAGUCAGUCACAAACCUCCAAACUGCUCACUGCACUAGACGUGGUGAUAGAGGUGGUUCCCCAUGUCGUGCAUGGAUUCUGGGAGCUUACUCCUCACCGCCUACUGAACAUGGCCUCCCAGAGAUUGAGCAUCCUUCAAAGGCCACUUUGGAUCAAGUAGCCAAAUCUAUCCCAACAAUGGAAAACCAGGCCAUCUUCUCACACUCCAUCAGAGAUGGCAUGGUGCACACAAUCCUGUCUGAAGUCAGAGGAAAAUAUCCAGAACAGAUUCUGCUGAACAAAAUUGCAAACUUUGCACCAGGGGUACUCAGAACAAUUGCUGAUGUAGCAAAGAACACCAUAUGCCAGAUCUUCCAGCCCCCUUGUGAAAGUCCAGUAGUGCCUGAUGUUCUUCCAACUAAAGAACCUCAUCCUGAAGGUCUGCCGAAAUCAGAUGUUCUUCCUACUUCUGAACCUUCAUUUGAAAGUUCACGAAUGGCUGAUAUUUUUUCCUCUGAAGAAUCUGCUUGUGAAAAUAUGCCAAAGUCAGAUGUUCUUCCUACUAAAGAGCCUCCGUUUGAAAGUUCACAAAUGGCUGAUGUUCUUCUUACUGAAGAACCUGCUUCCAAAAUUCUGGCAAAGUCUGAUGAUCUUCCUAGUGAGGAACUCCCUUCUGUAAGUCUAUCCAUGUCUGAGCCAGUUGUCUCUUUUACUAAUAAGUCAGAGAAGUCUGACAACAUUCAAAUCAGGGAGAAAAAGAAGAAAAAGAAAGGGCUUCUUCCAAAAAUUCAGAGCUCUGUGCUGUUGUUGCUUCAGACCCCAAGAAAUUGACUGACUUUGAGAAUACCAUGUUUGUUCUAACUCUCCAAAAUCAAAUAAAAUCCCUAAUCAAUAUUUUUGCAUGAGUCUGCAUCUAUGGUUAAAGAAUAUUUUUCCUUCAGAUGUUUAUAAGACUCUCUUAGGGUUCUCAAAAUACCUCCACAAGUCCAACAAUUGUUGACAUAUUAGUGUUUUUAUUUUUAAGAGAAUCUGAACUUAUUCUUACUCUUAACAUAUCAACAACAGUAACUGAAAACUGGAAAUUAAAAAAAGUUCCCAACAAUUAUUAACGUUGCUUCACAUCUUUGUUUUGUAAGGGUCCAGAUACACGUUGGCAUAUAGCAGGACCUCAGUGUUAAAAAAUAGAUAAAUAAUAAAUAAAAACUGUGGUGCGUACCACUGGCGGUACUUGGGCUCUCUCUGGUGGUACCCGGGAAAUCUCCUUUUUUUUUUUUUAAGAUUAAAUAAUAUACCAUUGUGGAGGUAUACAAAAGACGACACGAGAGUUCCCGGGGCUCUUCUGGGAGCCGGAGUCACCCAGAAAACGUCUCCCCGAGCAGCCUUUCCUCAUCGCCACUUCAGAGCGCUGGCGGGCUCAUUUCCCUGGUCCUUAAAACUGCAAAGGCGGUACGCCGCUGUCACGCUGAUAGUAAAAACCAAUACAGUCAUUGGUAAAAACACAGCCCUUUUCCGCCGUGCCGCGAUCCCAGCCACCAUCGAUGAGUCGGAGGCCCCCGAAAGAAUCGGUGGGGGUGCGGGAGAUGCCGUCGGUUAAUCGGGAACUAUAGCCUGGCUGCCGAAGCUUCUGGUAGACAGGAGAAUGCGAUCCGCUUCUUCUGCGAGUGAGCGGUAAGCCUUCGCGGCCAGCAGCGGGGAGUUGGCGAGGCCAGCUGGCACCGGCACCUGUCGGAGGAAGACGUGAGUGAAGAGGAAUCUGCCGUCAUCCGUUCCCAGCAAGGAUAGCGUGCUCUCCAUGAGCUCGAGCGCGGCACCAUCACCCAGGCCCAAGAGAGAGAGGAGUUUCUCGGCCCGCUCUGCGUCAGAGUGUUGUUCAACACACCCAUAUAUAACACAGCUGUGGAGAUCUGCUGGUAUCUUCCAGGUUACAGGGCUCAGAUUUCAAUGAUGAUGGAGUUGCUCCGACUUCAGAAGGAAAACCAAACCAGGGACAUCGAGUUUUAAGCCCGGAUGCUGCUGGGAUUUCCAGAAGCCAUACCUCCUAAAUUUCAGUGAUCACAUCUGCCGUACAAUCAUUAACAGUCCAGCUACAGUGUUUCAAUAUUUCUGUGAUUCUUUAAAUAGGUUUAAAAGAUCAUUCUUAUAACUUUAUUCUACAGAACACCUAAGCUCCUCAGCAAUGUCAGCAAGUACAUUGAACUCCUUAAAGAGAGGCAGCAGGACGCACAAACCUCCAAACUGCUCACUGCACCAGACGUGGUGAUAGAGGUGGUUCCCCAUGUCGUGCAUGGAUUCUGGGAGCUUACUGCUCACCCCCUACUGAACAUGGCCUCCCAGAGAUUGAGCAUCCUCCAAAGGCCACUUUGGAUCAAGUAGCCAAAUCUCUCCCAACAAUGGAAAACCAUGCCAUCUUCUCACACUCCCAUCAGAGAUGGCAUGGUGCACACAAUCCUGUCUGAAGUCAGAGGAAAAUAUCCAGAACAGAUUCUGCUGAACAAAAUUGCAAACUUUGCACCAGGGCUACUGAGAACUGAUGUAGCAAAAACACCAUACACCAGAUCUUCCAGCCCCCUUGUGAAAGUCCAGUAGUGCCUGAUGUUCUUCCAACUAAAUAACCUCAUCCUGGAGGUCUGCUGAAGUCAGAUGUUCUUCCUACUUCUGAACCUCCGUUUGAAAGUUCACGAAUGGCUGAUAUUUUUUCCUCUGAAGAACCUCCUUCUAAAAGUUCUUUAAUGGGUGAUGUUCUUCCCACUUCUGAACCUCCGUUUGAAAGUUCACAAAUGGCUGAUGUUCUUCUUACUGAAGAACCUGCUUCCAAAAUUCUGGCAAAGUCUGAUGAUCUUCCUAUUGAGGAACUCCCUUCUGUAAGUCUAUCCAUGUCUGAGCCAGUUGUCUCUUUUACUAAUAAGUCAGAGAAGUCUGACAACAUUCAAAUCAGGGAGAAAAAGAAAGGGCUUCUUCCAAAAAUUCAGAGCUCUGUGCUGUUGUUGCUUCAGACCCCAAGAAAUUGACUGACUUUGAGAAUCCAAUCUGUUUGUUCUAACUCUCCAAAAUCAAAUAAAAUCCCUAAUCAAUAUUUUUGCAUGAGUCUGCAUCUAUGGUUAAAGAAUAUUUUUCCUUCAGAUGUUUAUAAGACUCUCUUAGGGUUCUCAAAAUACCUCCACAAGUCCAACAAUUGUUGACAUAUUAGUGUUAUUAUUUUUAAGAGAAUCUGAACUUAUUCUUACUCUUAACAUAUCAACAACAGUAACUGAAAACUGGAAAUUAAAAAAAGUUCCCAACAAUUAUUAACGUUGCUUCACAUCUUUGUUUUGUAAGGGUCCGGAUACACGUUGGCAUAUAGCAGGACCUCGGUGUUUAUGAGUAUUAUUCAGGACUUAGGAAUAUUAAUAAAAGGAGCUCCUACAUGCCACAAAGCUGAUCAGAACCACAAAUGUCUUCCAACAUCCUCAGAUUUGUGUUUUACAAUUAAGAGGAACUUUGCAUAAUGUUUCCCAAAUGCUCAAAUCCUCAAAGGUCUAUUUAGGAAUUUAGGAUUAGAGCUAGACUGAUUGAACAUUUAAAAAAAAUAUAUAUCAUAAAAGAAUGCAUGAAGAAAAUAGCUUUUUAGAUUUUUAAAAAUGUCUAUAAGUUUAAAGUUUGGGCAGGGAUAGCUCAGUAGGUAGAGUGGUGGCCCCAUGACCUGAAGGUCAGGGGUUCAAAUCCACUGAGCAGAUACCCUGAUUUACCCCUGAGCAAGGUACUGUCCCUACAUACUGCUCCCUGAGUGCUAGAUUGGUGGCUGUCCACUGCUUUAGUGAGUGAAUGGGUUAAGUGCAGAGAGGAAUUUCCACACAGAGAUCAAUAAAGUAUGCAUAAUUAUUAUUUAUUUAUAGUUCAUCUUUAAACUUCUGUGGACAUCUGCAGUUUAAUCUUUCACAAUCAAGCUCUUAAAAUGAGAACAUUUCCACCCAACCUGGGUGGGUGGGUGCUGGAGCUCCAGGAAGGAGAACUCAGAAGAAAAGGAAAAACAGUCCAAAAAAAACAGUUCAGGAGGCCGCCCGUGUCGCCAACAGCCGAGACAAAUCAGUUCAUGAGGCUUCAGUUCCAGAGACUGACAAUGGCGGCGAAGGUGGGAACCUUCAGGACACAGGAGAGGGAGACGAUUAGGGUGGAAACCCUCAGGUGGAUUGGAUGGUGGCCGGUGUCGGCAUGGCUUAGUAGAUGGCCUGCGUUGGUGUGUCUUGGUAGAUGGCUUCAAACAAUAAACCAUAAAUAGAUCUUAUUAAUGUAUUUUUUGCAGCCAUUAUGACAAGAAAUUGUAUUUGAAUAAAAGUAUUUCCUGUAGCCUUAAUCGUGGAUUUUCUCAAAAGGUUUUCUCAUAAAGUUAAUAACACGUCUGCCGAAUAUUUCAUGUCCAAAUAACUGCUGAGAGUUACUAAAAAAAACGUUAUUUAGUGGCCUCUUAUUAAAAUGUUUUUAUUUUUCUUUUACAUGAAAAUCAAUCACUGUGUAUUUUUAACACCUAAAAUUCAAUGUGAUGCCAUUAUCCUGCCUAGCAACAUAAAAUGUCUCCAAAAACAUAAAGAAUAGAACAUAAUAUGAAUACAAACUCAUAUAUUGCACUCUAAACACAGCAGAUCAAAAAUGGCAGAAAAGACAUGUGCUCUGUUGCAGUAUGCAGAGUACAGGUGUAAAUUUAUCAUUGUACAAAAAAUAUAGUUCCUCUGCAGACUAAUGAUCAGAUAUAGAGAUAGAGGCAGAGUUGGUCAA